CCUCUCCUACGGGAGGCAGCAGUGGGGAAUAUUGGACAAUGGGCGAAAGCCUGAUCCAGCCAUGCCGCGUGUGUGAAGAAGGUCUUCGGAUUGUAAAGCACUUUAAGUUGGGAGGAAGGGCAUUAACCUAAUACGUUGGUGUCUUGACGUUACCGACAGAAUAAGCACCGGCUAACUCUGUGCCAGCAGCCGCGGUAAUACAGAGGGUGCAAGCGUUAAUCGGAAUUACUGGGCGUAAAGCGCGCGUAGGUGGUUCGUUAAGUUGGAUGUGAAAUCCCCGGGCUCAACCUGGGAACUGCAUUCAAAACUGACGAGCUAGAGUAUGGUAGAGGGUGGUGGAAUUUCCUGUGUAGCGGUGAAAUGCGUAGAUAUAGGAAGGAACACCAGUGGCGAAGGCGACCACCUGGACUGAUACUGACACUGAGGUGCGAAAGCGUGGGGGCAAACAGGAUUAGAUACCCCGGUAGUCCACGCCGUAAACGAUGUCAACUAGCCGUUGGGAGCCUUGAGCUCUUAGUGGCGCAGCUAACGCAUUGAGUUGACCGCCUGGGGAGUACGGCCGCAAGGUUAAAACUCAAAUGAAUUGACGGGGGCCCGCACAAGCGGUGGAGCAUGUGGUAUAAUUCGAAGCAACGCGAAGAACCUUACCAGGCCUUGACAUCCAAUGAAUCUGCCAGAGAUGGCGGAGUGCCUUCGGGAGCAUUGAGACAGGUGCUGCAUGGCUGUCGUCAGCUCGUGUCGUGAGAUGUUGGGUUAAGUCCCGUAACGAGCGCAACCCUUGUCCUUAGUUACCAGCACGUUAAGGUGGGCACUCUAAGGAGACUGCCGGUGACAAACCGGAGGAAGGUGGGGAUGACGUCAAGUCAUCAUGGCCCUUACGGCCUGGGCUACACACGUGCUACAAUGGUCGGUACAGAGGGUUGCCAAGCCGCGAGGUGGAGCUAAUCCCAGAAAACCGAUCGUAGUCCGGAUCGCAGUCUGCAACUCGACUGCGUGAAGUCGGAAUCGCUAGUAAUCGCGAAUCAGAAUGUCGCGGUGAAUACGUUCCCGGGCCUUGUACACACCGCCCGUCACACCAUGGGAGUGGGUUGCACCAGAAGUAGCUAGUCUAACCUUCGGGAGGACGGUUACCACGGUGUGAUUCAUGACUGGGGUGAAGUCGUAACAAGGUAGCCGUAGGGGAACCUGCGGCUG
rnacentral:rRNA from 1 species